rnacentral:rRNA from 1 species
GAUGAAUGCUGGCGGCGUGCCUAAUACAUGCAAGUCGAACGGGGAAAGCUUUCGGGUGAGUACUAGUGGCGCACGGGUGAGUAACGCGUGGAUAAUCUGCCUUAGAGUGGGGGAUAACUAGUCGAAAGAUUAGCUAAUACCGCAUAAGACCACAAGAACUGCGGUUCAAGAGGUCAAAGGUUUUUCGCUCUAAGAUGAGUCCGCGUAAGAUUAGCUAGUUGGUGAGGUAACGGCUCACCAAGGCAACGAUCUUUAACUGGUCUGAGAGGAUGAUCAGUCACACUGGAACUGAGACACGGUCCAGACUCCUACGGGAGGCAGCAGUAGGGAAUAUUGCACAAUGGAGGAAACUCUGAUGCAGCGACGCCGCGUGAGUGAUGAAGGCCUUCGGGUCGUAAAGCUCUGUCGCAGGGGAAUAACACAAUGAAUGUACCCUGUAAGAAAGGAUCGGCUAACUUCGUGCCAGCCGCCGCGGUAACAC